rnacentral:rRNA from 1 species
GGUUCAUUCAAAUUUCUGCCCUAUCAACUUUCGAUGGUAGGAUAGUGGCCUACCAUGGUUUCAACGGGUAACGGGGAAUUAGGGUUCUAUUCCGGAGAAGGAGCCUGAGAAACGGCUACUACAUCCAAGGAAGGCAGCAGGCGCGCAAAUUACCCAAUCCCGACCGGGGAGGUAGUGACAAUAAAUACUGAUACAGGGCUCUUUUGAGUCUUGUAAUUGGAAUGAGUACAAUUUAAAUCCCUUAACGAGGAACAAGUGGAGGGCAAGUCUGGUGCCAGCAGCCGCGGUAAUUCCAGCUCCAAUAGCGUAUAUUAAAGUUGUUGCAGUUAAAAAGCUCGUAGUUG